GGAAGUAAAAGUCGUUACAAGGUCUCCGUUGGUGAACCAGCGGAGGGAUCAUUACAGGACUCGCAAGACUCCUUACACCCUGUGAACCUUACUGUAUACGCGUUGCUUCGGCGGGUCCGCCCGCCGGCAGCAUACCACAUUCUGUUUCUCUGCGUUGGCAUCUCGAGAAAAAAGCAAAUAAGUUAAAACUUUCAACAACGGAUCUCUUGGUUCUG
rnacentral:misc_RNA from 1 species